rnacentral:rRNA from 1 species
GCUGGCGACCGGCGCACGGGUGAGUAACACGUAUCCAACCUACCCUUUACUCGGGGAUAGCCUUUCGAAAGAAAGAUUAAUACCCGAUAGCAUAAUGAUUCCGCAUGGUUUCAUUAUUAAAGGAUUCCGGUAAAGGAUGGGGAUGCGUUCCAUUAGGUUGUUGGUGAGGUAACGGCCCACCAAGCCUUCGAUGGAUAGGGGUUCUGAGAGGAAGGUCCCCCCACAUUGGAACUGAGACACGGUCCAAACUCCUACGGGAGGCAGCAUG